CACGUAAGGCGCAAGCGUUGUCCGGAAUUAUUGGGCGUAAAGAGCUCGUAGGUGGUUUGUUACGUCCGCUGUGAAAUCCUAGGGCUUAACCCUGGGCUUGCAGUGGAUACGGGCAGACUAGAGGUAGGUAGGGGAGAAUGGAAUUCCUGGUGUAGCGGUGAAAUGCGCAGAUAUCAGGAGGAACACCGGUGGCGAAGGCGGGUCUCUGGGCAGUAACUGACGCUGAGGAGCGAAAGCGUGGGGAGCGAACAGG
rnacentral:rRNA from 1 species